AGCAGCCGCGGUAAUUCCAGCUCCAAUAGCGUAUAUUAAAGUUGUUGCAGUUAAAAGCUCGUAGUUGAAUUUCGGGAUCAAUUAAUUGGUCGUGCCUCUGGUACGUACUGAUUUUAUUGGUUUCUCCCUUCUGAAGAAUCAUGAUGUCAUUAAUUUGGUGUCGUGGAGAAUCAGGACUGUUACUUUGAAAAAAUUAGAGUGUUUAAAGCAAGCUAACGCUUGAAUACAUUAGCAUGGAAUAAUGAAAUAGGACGUUUGAUCCUAUUUUGUUGGUUUCUAGGAUCGACGUAAUGAUUAAUAGGGAUAGUUGGGGGCAUUAGUAUUCAAUUGUCAGAGGUGAAAUUCUUGGAUUUAUUGAAGACUAACUACUGCGAAAGCAUUUGCCAAGGAUGUUUUCAUUAAUCAAGAACGAAAGUUAGGGGAUCGAAGACGAUCAGAUACCGUCGUAGUCUUAACCAUAAACUAUGCCGACUAGGGAUCGGAUGAUGUUAAUUUUUUAAUGACUCAUUCGGCGCCUUAC
rnacentral:rRNA from 1 species